GUAAAGCCAUAUCACCCUGCAACUCACAACUGGCAACCCACUGAAGCUAAGCAGGUGUGAGCCUGGUCAGUACCUGGAUGGGAGACCUCCUGGGAAAAACUAAGGUUGCUGCU
rnacentral:rRNA from 1 species